GGUCUUGUAGUCAAAAAAUGAUUUCAAAUUGCAAGUUUGAAGGUAGAUAUUAUCUUAAGGCUU
rnacentral:tRNA from 1 species